CCUGAUGCAGCAUGCGCGUGUGUGAAGAAGCCUUCGGGUUGUAAAGCACUUCAGCGAGGAGGAAAGGGUUCAGUGUUAAUAGCACUGUUCAUUGACGUUACUCGCAGAAGAAGCACCGGCUAACUCCGUGCCAGCAGCCGCGGUAAUACGGAGGGUGCAAGCGUUAAUCGGAAUUACUGGGCGUAAAGCGCACGCAGGCGGUUUGUUAAGUCAGAUGUGAAAUCCCCGCGCUUAACGUGGGAACUGCAUUUGAAACUGGCAAGCUAGAGUCUUGUAGAGGGGGGUAGAAUUCCAGGU
rnacentral:rRNA from 1 species